AAUCAACGCUGGCGGCGUGCCUAACACAUGCAAGUCGCACGAGAAAGGGGAGCAAUCCCUGAGUAAAGUGGCGCACGGGUGAGUAACACGUGAAUUAUCUACCUCCGAGUGGGGAAUAACUGAGAGAAAUCUUAGCUAAUACCGCAUAACACUUACGAGUCAAAGCAGCAAUGCGCUUGGAGAGGAGUUCGCGGCCGAUUAGUUAGUUGGCGGGGUAAUGGCCCACCAAGACGAUGAUCGGUAUCCGGCCUGAGAGGGCGCACGGACACACUGGAACUGAAACACGGUCCAGACUCCUACGGGAGGCAGCAGUGGGGAAUUUUGCGCAAUGGGGGAAACCCUGACGCAGCAACGCCGCGUGGAGGAUGAAGUAUCUUGGUACGUAAACUCCUUUCGAUUGGGAAGAUAAUGACGGUACCAAUAGAAGAAGCCCCGGCUAACUUCGUGCCAGCCGCCGCUGU
rnacentral:rRNA from 1 species